rnacentral:rRNA from 1 species
UACGGGGGGGGCAAGCGUUGUUCGGAAUUACUGGGCGUAAAGGGCUCGUAGGCGGCCAACUAAGUCAGACGUGAAAUCCCCAGGCUCAACCUGGGAACUGCGUCUGAUACUGAUUGGCUUGAAUCCGGGAGAGGGAUGCGGAAUUCCAGGUGUAGCGGUGAAAUGCGUAGAUAUCUGGAGGAACACCGGUGGCGAAGGCGGCAUCCUGGACCGGCAUUGACGCUGAGGCGCGAAAGCUAGGGGAGCAAACGGG